rnacentral:rRNA from 1 species
GACGAACGCUGGCGGCGUGCCUAAUACAUGCAAGUCGAGCGGAUCUGAUGAAGUGCUUGCACUUCUGAUGGUUAGCGGCGGACGGGUGAGUAACACGUAGGCAACCUGCCUGCAAGCCCGGGAUAACAUUCGGAAACGAAUGCUAAGACCGGAUACGCAGCUUGGUCGCAUGACUGAGCUGGGAAAGACGGAGCAAUCUGUCGCUUGUAGAUGGGCCUGCGGCGCAUUAGCUAGUUGGUGAGGUAACGGCCCACCAAGGCGACGAUGCGUAGCGGACCUGAGAGGGUGAACGGCCAGACGGGGACUGAGACACGGCCCAGACUCCGACGGGAGGCAGCAGUAGGGAAUCUUCCACAAUGGACGCAAGUCUGAUGGAGCAACGCCGCGUGAGUGAGGAAGGCCUUCGGGUCGUAAAGCUCUGUUGCCAGGGAAGAACGCCUAGGAGAGUAACUGCUCUUAGGGUGACGGUACCUGAGAAGAAAGCCCCGGCUAACUACGUGCCAGCCGCCGCAGUAAUAC